GAUGAACGCUGGCGGCGUGCUUAACACAUGCAAGUCGAACGGAAAGGCCCAAGCUUGCUUGGGUACUCGAGUGGCGAACGGGUGAGUAACACGUGGGUGAUCUGCCCUGCACUUCGGGAUAAGCCUGGGAAACUGGGUCUAAUACCGGAUAGGACCACAUUUUGGAUGGUGUGGUGGAAAGUUUUUCGGUGUGGGAUGAGCUCGCGGCCUAUCAGCUUGUUGGUGGGGUAAUGGCCUACCAAGGCGUCGACGGGUAGCCGGCCUGAGAGGGUGUACGGCCACAUUGGGAUGGAGAUACGGCCCAGACUCCUACGGGAGGCAGAAGUGGGGAAUAUUGAAAAAGGGGCGCAAGCCUGAGGCAGCGACGCCGGGGGGGGGAGGACGGCCUUCGGGUUGUAAACUCCUUUCGCUAGGGACGAAGCGUUUGUGACGGUACCUGGAGAAGAAGCACCGGCUAACUACGUG
rnacentral:rRNA from 1 species